GGAGUUGUAGCUCAGUGGUAGAGUACUUGCCUAGCACGUGUGAGGCACUGGGUUCAAUCCUCAGCACCA
rnacentral:tRNA from 1 species